rnacentral:rRNA from 1 species
UACGAAGGGGGCUAGCGUUGUUCGGAAUUACUGGGCGUAAAGGGCGCGCAGGCGGUCGUCCAAGUCGCGUGUGAAAGCCCCCGGCUCAACUGGGGAGGGUCACGCGAUACUGGUCGACUCGAAGGCAGGAGAGGGUAGUGGAAUUCCCGGUGUAGUGGUGAAAUGCGUAGAUAUCGGGAGGAACACCAGUGGCGAAGGCGACUACCUGGCCUGUUCUUGACGCUGAGGCGCGAAAGCUAGGGGAGCAAACGGG